CCGAAAGGCAGGAGUGCCUGCAAGGGAGCGCGGAGACAGGUGGUGCAUGGCUGUCGUCAGCUCGUGUCGUGAGAUGUUGGGUUAAGUCCCGCAACGAGCGCAACCCUCACCUCUUGUUGCCAUCAGGUCAUGCUGGGCACUCUAGAGGAACUGCCCCGGUCAACGGGGAGGAAGGCGGGGAUAACGUCAAGUCAUCAUGCCCCUUACGUCCUGGGCUACACACGUGCUACAAUGGCCGGUACAAAGGGAUGCCACACCGCGAGGUAGAGCUAAACCCAAAAAGCCGGUCUAAGUUCGGAUUGGAGUCUGCAACUCGACUCCAUGAAGGAGGAAUCGCUAGUAAUCGCGUAUCAGCACGACGCGGUGAAUACGUUCCCGGGCCUUGUACACACCGCCCGUCACACCACGAAAGCCAG
rnacentral:rRNA from 1 species